CCUGGGUGGCCUUGGGCAGGUGCCUUGGAGGCCCCGGGGGAAGACAAAGGUCCCCGUCUGUCCCUGGACACAGAGGAAGUCAACCCCUUGCUUGGAAGAAUGGCUGGUCAUCUGAGAACUGCACUUUCACCCCCUGCAAGACCUGCCUGGUGACCCUUGAUGAUGGUGGUGGGUCAUGAGGACUCAGGCAUGCAUGGCAAGGAACUGAGCUGCCUGCCCACAGCUCUGUGAAGACACCAUCUUGGAAGCAGAUCCUCCAGCCUCAGUCAAAUCUUCAGAUGUCCUCAGGCCCAGCUGAUGGCUCAACUACAACCUCAUGAGACACUUGGAGGAAGAAUCAUGAAGGCAUGUAGCUAAUCUGCUCCUGGAUUCCUGCCACAGAGACCUGAGAUAUAACAGUUUUAAGCUGCUAAGUGUUGGGUAAUUUGUUAUAUAGCAACAGGUAACUGAUCCAUCAUAAGACUCCAAUGUUUUUGUUUUCCUCUCCAAAUAAAAUUCUGGUGAUUCU